rnacentral:rRNA from 1 species
UAGCGUAGGGCGCAAGCGUUAUCCGGAAUUAUUGGGCGUAAAGAGCUCGUAGGCGGUUUGUCGCGUCUGCUGUGAAAACCCGAGGCUCAACCUCGGGCCUGCAGUGGGUACGGGCAGACGUAGAGUGCGGUAGGGGAGAUUGGAAUUCCUGGUGUAAGCGGUGGAAUGCGCAGAUAUCAGGAGGAACACCGGUGGCGAAGGCGGGUCUCUGGGCCGUAACUGACGCUGAGGAGCGAAAGCGUGGGGAGCGAACAGG